rnacentral:lncRNA from 1 species
GAUCUUUCCCUGGAGAGGUGACUCUGGCUGGUCACUUCCUGUGAGCAGGCCUGGGCACCAGUUCAAUCCUGGAACUUGAGCCUGUAGGAGCUCCCUCAGCUGGCUUCCUUGAGACAGUCACAUGGAAAUGGGAUAAAAACAAGGAGCACAGACUUAACCUGAAUAGUGCCAAAAAGAGCACACAGGAAAAACUAGUGUGAGACUCGAGAAUGCGACGCUUGACAUAUGUUAAGUCGUAGGACUUCCUUGUAUGCACACUAUUUGUGAAGUGCUCAGACAAGUACCAGAGUUUGGCUAUCAUCCUGGCUCCCCAUAUCCCUGAGAAUGGCAAAAACAAAAUCAUACCAGGGAAUGACACUUCCCUAUCAAAUCAAAAUUCUAGUUUUUUUUUUUUCUUCUUAUAGUAUGGCAACUUCCUGUAGUCUUGGCUGCAAAUGGGUAAAUGUAAUAUUACUGCAUUAUGUACAAACACAGAACUCAAGAGAAUCACCAAAAGAUGAGGAAAUGGAAAAAAAAAUUGGUUUAAGUGACUUGCCCAGAGACACACAGCUUGCAUCUGAGGCUACAUUUAAAUUCAGAUCUUUCUGAUUCAAGACAUGUAAGCUCACUUGCAGAGAAAAUUCUAGGAAAAGAAGCUCCUUCUGCCAUUCUUUGUUUGGUACCUGCUCUACAAUUUGUUACCUGAGGAGUUAGAUACUAAGGUUAAAUGAUUUGCCCAGUUUGUAUUGAAGGUAAGAAUGAACCCAAGUCUUCCUGACUCCAAGGCCAACUGUCUAUUCACUCCCAUGUUUCCUUUCAAAACAUUUUCUUUUAAAUAUGGUCUAGUUGGGUAGGUGGGUGGAAAGACAUAGAGGACUUUUUGCCUUCUCCGUAUGUUUCUGGUUUCCUAUCUUUUACCGACAUAUCUCAGCUGCCAUCUCACCCUUGAUUUUCUUUCAAGGACUGGGGCCUCCUUACCCUGGAAUAUCCUUCUUCCAUUCCUGUCCUUUUCUCUCAUUUGUAAGUUCCUCUUGAGGCCUCCAUUUUGGAGAAGAGCCCAAGCCUAACAACCUUUAUUUUCAACUACUUCUGCUUGUAAUUUUCUAGAUUUGACAUAAUCCCCCCACCUUUUUCCAUCCCUUUUCAGCUCUUCUUGAUCUAUUGUCUUUCCCCUUUAGAACACAAACUCCUUGAAGGGGUAACUAUCAUUCUUUUUACUUGUAUUUACUAUAGCCUCAGUGAUUAAUGUAGUGGCUAGCACAAAAGGAGUGCUGUAAUUAAUGAUAAUAAUAGCAAUAGUAUUUAUGUAACAUUUUAAAGUUUACAAAGUACUUUACAUAUGUUAACAUAUUCAAUCCUUAAAACAAAC